AAAUGAAUAGACGGGGGCCCGCACAAGCGGUGGAGCAUGUGGUUUAAUUCGAUGCAACGCGAAGAACCUUACCAGGUCUUGACAUCCCACGAAUCCUCUUGAAAGGGAGGAGUGCCUUCGGGAGCGUGGAGACAGGUGGUGCAUGGUUGUCGUCAGCUCGUGUCGUGAGAUGUUGGGUUAAGUCCCGCAACGAGCGCAACCCUUGCUAUUAGUUGCUAACAGUUAAAGCUGAGCACUCUAAUGGGACUGCCGGUGACAAGCCGGAGGAAGGUGGGGAUGACGUCAAAUCAUCAUGCCCUUUAUGACCUGGGCUACACACGUGCUACAAUGGAUGGUACAGAGAGCGGCGAGGCAGUGAUGCGGAGCGAAUCUCAAAAAGCCAUUCUCAGUUCGGAUUGUAGUCUGCAACUCGACUACAUGAAGUCGGAAUCGCUAGUAAUCGCGAAUCAGCAUGUCGCGGUGAAUGCGUUCCCGGGCCUUGUACACACCGCCCGU
rnacentral:rRNA from 1 species